rnacentral:rRNA from 1 species
AACGCGAAGGACCUUACCUACCCUUGACAUGGAUGGAAUCCUGAAGAGAUUUGGGAGUGCUCGAAAGAGAACCAUCACACAGGUGCUGCAUGGCUGUCGUCAGCUCGUGUCGUGAGAUGUUGGGUUAAGUCCCGCAACGAGCGCAACCCUUGUCAUUAGUUGCUACGAAAGGGCACUCUAAUGAGACUGCCGGUGACAAACCGGAGGAAGGUGGGGAUGACGUCAAGUCCUCAUGGCCCUUAUGGGUAGGGCUUCACACGUCAUACAAUGGUACAUACAGAGGGCCGCCAACCCGCGAGGGGGAGCUAAUCCCAGAAAGUGUAUCGUAGUCCGGAUUGGAGUCUGCAACUCGACUCCAUGAAGUUGGAAUCGCUGAGUAAUCGCGGAUCAGCAUGUCGCGGUGAAUACG